UAGUGGCGAACGGGUGAGUAACACGUGGGCAAUCUGCCCUUCACUCUGGGACAAGCCCUGGAAACGGGGUCUAAUACCGGAUAACACUUUCACGGGCAUCUGUGAGGGUUAAAAGCUCCGGCGGUGAAGGAUGAGCCCGCGGCCUAUCAGCUUGUUGGUGAGGUAAUGGCUCACCAAGGCGACGACGGGUAGCCGGCCUGAGAGGGCGACCGGCCACACUGGGACUGAGACACGGCCCAGACUCCUACGGGAGGCAGCAGUGGGGAAUAUUGCACAAUGGGCGAAAGCCUGAUGCAGCGACGCCGCGUGAGGGAUGACGGCCUUCGGGUUGUAAACCUCUUUCAGCAGGGAAGAAGCGAAAGUGACGGUACCUGCAGAAGAAGCGCCGGCUAACUACGUGCCAGCAGCCGCGGUAAUACGUAGGGCGCAAGCGUUGUCCGGAAUUAUUGGGCGUAAAGAGCUCGUAGGCGGCUUGUCACGUCGAUUGUGAAAGCCCGAGGCUUAACCUCGGGUCUGCAGUCGAUACGGGCUAGCUAGAGUGUGGNAGGGGNAGAUCGGAAUUCCU
rnacentral:rRNA from 1 species